rnacentral:rRNA from 1 species
UUGGGCGACCGGAUAAAUAAGUCCUUUGGAAAGGGGCAACAUAGAGGGUGACAUUCCCGUCUUUGGUCCGAGUCAGUGCAGUCGCUGCCCAGGAAACGACGAGUCAGGUUGUUUGGGAAUGCAGCCUAAAAUGGGAGGUAAAUCUCUCCUAAAGCUAAAUACUGGCGUAAGACCGAUAGCGAACAAGUACCGUGAGGGAAAGAUGAAAAGGACUUUGAAAAGAGGGUCAAAUAGUACGUGAAAUUGUUGAAAGGGAACCGUAUGAAAGUAGACUGGCUUGGUGAUGAUCAAUGUGUGUUUCGGCACGCAUGCACUCAUUGCCUUAGCCAGCCAGCGGCAGUUUUUGCUAAAGGAAGAAAAUCAGGGGAAUGUAGCUUCGAUUUCGGUUGAAGUGUUAUAGCUCCUGGUAAAAUACUUUGGCAGAGACUGAGGCUAGCAGCGGAUCUUUGGGAACUUUGCGCGCUUGUCGUCCAAUGGUUAAGUUUUCUUCGGAUGCUUGGUCAUUGGGUGGCAACUCGUGUGAUGCUUCACCCUUCCGCUUAGGUCGCUGGCGUAAUGCUUUUAUAUGACCCGU